rnacentral:rRNA from 1 species
GACGAACGCUGGCGGCGUGCCUAAUACAUGCAAGUAGAACGCAGGUGCGAACGGUUGAGUAACGCGUAGGUAACUGCCUCAUUGCGGGGGGUAACCAUUGGAAACGAUAGCAAAUACCGCAUACUGUGAGAGGGACCAGCGUGGACUUAGCUAGUUGGUGCGGGAAAGGCUCACCAAGGCGACGAUACAUAGCCGACCUGAGAGGGGGAUCCGCCACACUUGGACAUGGACACGGCCCAGAGUCCGACGGGAGGCAGCAGUAAGAAAUCUUCGGAAAUGGACCGAAGUCUGACCAAGCAACGACACGUGAGUGAAGAAGAUUAUCCGGUCGUAAAGCUCUGUUGUUAGAGAAGCGAUAACUAACCAGAAAGGGACGGCUAACUACGUGCCAGCAGCCGCGGUAAUUC